GUAUGUUUGAAAGUUUGCAUCAUGACAGGGAAAAAGAAAAAAAAAGAAGACUUCUUUAACAGUUACUAGUCUUUUCAAAUAAAGAGAUAAUUCUAAUGACCAGAUUGGAAGUCUAAAUCAAACGUAUCACAUUAAGGAAUGUACCUUCAAGUUUGUUGUUAAAUUUUAAGUUGGUAAGCCUGACUUGCAGGCCAUUGAGGAUCAGAAUAAAAUGUGAUUUACUAAAGGAAUUGAAUGACAGCUUAUGGUCUGCAUUCAUUGCCACUGGAUAAUUUUUUUAAGACUUUAUUUUUUAGAGUCGUUCUAGGUUCAGAGCAAAAUCAAACGGAAGGUACAGAGAUUUCUCGUCUCUCCCCUGUCUGCACACUUGCAUAGUCUACCCUAUUAUCAAUAUUCCCCACCAGAGUGGUGCACUUAUUAAACUGAUAAAUUGUAUGUUGACCCGUCAUUGUCACCCUAAAUUGGUAGUGUACACUAGGGUUCACUCUCAGUCUUGUAUAUUCUGUGGCUUUGAGUAAAUGUGUAUGACAUAUAUCCACCAUUAUGAUAUAUACAGAAUACUUUCACCUCACUAGAGAAUUCUUGCUACUUCUUUGCUCCUGUUGAAUGAGGAGGUGACUCUGGUAGCCAUGUGUGGUUCCUUUGAACCUCAUGAGUGUGAUUCCCUAUAGGUAGAGCCAACGAGGAAGACUGAGGCCAGACCUCUCAUCUCACAGGGUACCUAGCUGUCCUCUAUCCCCACACCUCAGACUCCUCAGGAGAGAUGUCUGUGGAGCUGUGGAAAGGUACCUUCUUUAUGCAAAUGAAGAGACUAUGUGCUUGGAUUUUCUCGAUGACGAUUCCUGAUUCGUGGCCCUGGCAGUCUUGGGGAAGCGUUGUCGAGUUUCUUCAAUCCAGACCUUGGGGCCUCCUUUUUCUCCACAUCACUCCCACCCAGUUGAUCGAACCACUUUCUAGGACAUAUUUAGAGAGACAGUGGAGAUUGUUGGGCAUGAUUCUGAGAACCUGAGAUGCUUUUGUUGAGCAUAUAGUAUGUGCUAUCACUGGAACGGGGGAAAGGACAAAACAAGGAAGAAGGAAGGCAGGCCUACCUCCAAUCUCCAAGGUUUGUUGGGCUAGGAGGAGAUAAGGCAGAAAUGAAACAGAAGAAAAGCUGUAAAAAUAUGUAUCCAGAAAGGCUGUGUGGUGCUGUGAAGAAGCCUGGUGUUUGUUUUGGUUUGGGUGGGGUUGGUUUUUUGUUUUGUUUUGUUUUUUGAGAGGGAGUGAGCAUGCACAAGUAGGGAGUGGGGAGAGGGGCAGAGGGAGACCAAGAAUCUCAAGCAGACUGCACACCGAGCACAGAGCCUCACAAUCCUGAGAUAUGACCUGAGCCAAAAUCAAGAGUUGGAUAUUCUUAACCAACUGAACCACUCAAGUGCCCCACGCCCCUCCCACCAAAAAAAAAAAAAAAAAAAAAAGGGUUUUGAAACUGAAUGUCUCUUGAUCUUCCAUUUAUGGGCAGUGGGAAUGUCAGCAAAGUAUUAAGUCUCUUUGAGCCUUAGUUUCCUCCACUGUAUGAUAGAGGAUAAUCACAUUCACACCAUGGAAGUGUUGUAACAAAUGAUAAGGCAAUGAAAGUGGGGCCCUGGCAUAGGACCUGGAGCAAAGGAAGUUCUCAGGACUUGUCCAUGAUUCUCCCUUCUCUGACUUCCUUGCCCUCAGCCUAGUGCCACCUAGUGAUACAUGCAGGCCGACCAGAGGGAGUGCAGAGGGAAGCAAGCUUUGUGUGUUCCAGAAAGUCAGAGAAGGUAGAAGGUGUGGCUUUUGAACUGGACCUUGAAAUAUUAAUGAGUCAAUAUAAUAUAAUGGUGAUGAUGAUGAUGAUAAUUGGAAAAGUGGGGAAAAAAGAAUAGCUGAUUAAAGAGUAGUAAAUAUUACCUGGCACUACACUAAAUACUACACAAUUGGAGGUGAUUUAUUUUCCAACAAAAUUUGAUGAAGUGGAUAGCAUUAUUUCCCCCAUUUUAAUGAUU
rnacentral:lncRNA from 1 species